rnacentral:rRNA from 1 species
AGGAUGAACGCUGGCGGUCUGCUUAACACAUGCAAGUCGAACGGAGUAGCAAUACUUAGUGGCGGACGGGUGAGUAACGCGUGAGAAUCUACCUUCAGGACGGAGACAACAGUUGGAAACGACUGCUAACCCCCGAUGUACUGAAAAGGCAAAUAUUUAUAGCCUGAAGAAGAGCUCGCGUCCGAUUAGCUAGUUGGAGAGGUAAAAGCUCAUCAAGGCGACGAUCGGUAGCUGGUCUGAGAGGACGAUCAGCCACACUGGGACUGAGACACGGCCCAGACUCCUACGGGAGGCAGCAGUGGGGAAUUUUCCGCAAUGGGCGAAAGCCUGACGGAGCAAGACCGCGUGGGGGAAGAAGGCGUCGUUGGGUUGUAAACCCCUUUUCUCUUGGGAAGAACACAAUGACGGUACCAGAGGAAUCAGCAUCGGCUAACUCCGUGCCAGCAGCCGC